ensembl:lncRNA
AUGGGCCUGGCCUCCCAGGCUCUGAGUGCCUGUGGGCUGCGGCCAGACCUCUGUCCUGCUCCCUUCCCCCCACCCCAAUCCCCCCAGACUGCUUGUCAUCAUGUCCUACCGGGCCUGCCUGUACGGCCGUCCUGUAUCCACGAGUCCCAGGCUCUGCCUUGCCCCCAGCCUCAUGGCCGGUCUGGGGGCUGCCACCUGGCCUGUCGCUUCUGUUCUUGCGCUUCUCUUCUUGCACCUUCUCCUGUCAUUGCCAUCCCUACGAGCCACCUCCCUCCACCGAAAACCAGGCUGCAGGUCAGCCCGUCCUCGACACCCUGGCGGCGACAGUCGGCUGAAGAACUGGAUGGAAGAGGCAGGAGAGUUGCCCUGGACCAGCGCUCCUUCAGGACGGUCACCUGGCAUCUCAUGCCCACCUGGUGCCCCGUGACUCCCUCCUGGUUUGGGCUGAAGCCGUCUCGAAUCCUCCGUGGGACAGGACCGUGGACACGCCACCCCAGUACCCUCCAGCUCCAAAAUCGGUAGACUAGGAUGGAAGUGGCCUAGCUGGGGGGCCCUUCAAAGGGCCAAGGAGAAAACGCGGGCCAAGAGACCAGCCUCUCAAACGGGCUUCGAGCUGCAAUGACCUUCACUUACCUUCCCCCCCUUGAAAUGUCUGGAAAACGGAAUGGACAGAUUUUCUGUCUUCAAAGUUUCCGGCUAAACCUCUUCAAGUUCUUUAUUGUUUGGGACUGAGACACUCAGCAAUGGUAAUGGGUAGUUCCUUUUGUAUUUGCCUUGAAAGGCCAAAAUAUUUUUAUAUGGCUACAGACAAAGCCGUCUGUUUUAAGAUGAACUCUAUGUCCGUCGUUUCCCACCGGGGAGAUCGUGUAUACCGUGUGUGUCUCUGUGCACUCUUGGGUCUUGAAACAGGUUUCUCAUGGGGAUGGCCAUUCACAGGGGUCCACGGGGAAGCACCUGCCCCACCAAAGGGGCCUGGGGACUCUGACCCUCAUCUGUGUAGGAUGUGACCCCCGGGGGCGCGGCGGGUGUUCUGGCUGCACUAACAUGUACUCUGCCUGUGCCUGCAUCCGCCAUGCAUAUGUGUCAAGGACUGUGGGUUGUGUGCACCUUGGUGGUUAACUUGGUGGGAAGAAGCUGGAAGGUCAAAUAUACUGUGAAUGUUCUAUUGUUCUGGUUGGGAGGUCAUUUUGCUGGGCUCUGUUACCUGGUCCAAAUAAGUGAAUGGAUGAAUAAAUGAAUGAAGGCAUGAAAGAGUGAAGAAACUAAUAAAUAGGUAAAGAAGCGUACCCUGAAGGAGAUCCAAUUUGACGCACAGGAGCUCGAUAGAUAAGUCAAUAAAGCAUUGAAUCAAUAUAUAAAUAGGGCCACGCAGGAACCGAUGUCAGGUCAUCGUGGACUAAGGGAACACGUGCAAUUCAAGUAUAUAGCGCCUGAAGUUUGUCCAUAAAAGAAUAAAGCCUAGAUGAAAGAAUGAAUAAGAAGUCGAGAUACAUAAACCAGUGGUGAGGGUGAGAUUAUGCGGCCCGUCAAAGUGAAAAGAUGCAAGAGAAAGGGCACAAAUGAUUGAAAGGAAGAAGAAAAACGGAAAGACGCAAAAUAAUAACUAAGCAGGAAGAUAACUUUUAAAAUUAGGGGGUGAGAAAAUAUAUAAGGAGGACUGGGUCAGGUUAUUAGGAGCCAAGCAUUAGGAUUAGUCCAGAUACAUGCUCCAGCCAUAGAAAAAAAAGAGAAACAACAGAGGAAGAGUUCAAAAGAUAGUCAAAACCGAAAAAGGACCCAGGGGACCAGAGAUGAGAGUUAACUUUAACCAAAUUUUUCUAACUCUGGGCACACAUAAAUAAACAAACACUGAAAUGAAAGAAAGCCAAAAAAAAAAAAAGAAAAAAAAAGAAAAAAAAGGAGAAAGGAAAGGAUGGGAUGAAUAAGUAGUGGACGUACGUGGACCCAGAUGGGAGCGUGGCAGGAGGGGUUUUGAGUCAUCCAGUCCUGGGACCUGAGGUCUGUUCCAUGAAAGGACUAAAAAAGAGAGAGAACAAAAUAAAACAUCUAAAUAAAAAUCAAGAAAUAUGGAAGAAAAAGUAACAAGUGUUCAGUCCAGGAAUACAUUAGUGGGUGAAUAAAUAAACAUAUAAAAGAAGGCAAUGCUAGGAGUCGAGUAAUAGACUGUCAUGAAUCAAGGGUUAUGGUUGGUCCAAUUCUAAAAGCCACAGUACUAUCAAAACAUAAUAAGUAUCUCCAGAAACAAGUGAAUGAGUAUCUAAAGAAACAAAGACAUGAUGGAGUGAGGCAGGGAGGGGCCAUGGCCACAGGCACUCCUGAGGGGCCUGUUGGAAGGUUGUAAUUAAUCUUCGCCACUGUCUGGGCACCAAAGAUCCAGGAGGAUGCAAGAAGACAGAUGAGAAAGGAGGAGAUUUGGAAAGCUGCAACAAAAGAGAGAAAGAAAGAGUUAAGAGGUGGUAGAUGGGUAUAUUCUUGGGAGAGGGUUAGGUUAAGAGUGAUAAUAAAGGACCAGCCCAAACUGUAGAUCACAAUGGGUCAAAAUCUGGGCACUCAUUCCGUUAGUAGAGGAGUAUAUACCUAAUAAGAAGAGAAACACAGCAGGAAGGAAGAAUGGUAUGAAUGAAGGAAGGAAGGAAGGGACGAACGAGACGUGGAGAGGCAGGGCCCCAGGAUGCCGUUUGCAGGUAACGUUAUAGGAUUCAUCACUUCAUGGCACCUGAGCGCUGACGAAUGAAAGAAUGCAAGAAAGAAAGAGUGAGAGAGCAAAAGAGAGAAACGGUGAAAAUGGGAGAGAAAUGAUAAAUCAGAGAUUAAAUUAGAAAUGAAAAAGGAAAAAAGGAGAAAGGUAAUAUAUUAACAGACAGAUAGAUAAAUACAUAUAUAGGAGAGAGCAGCUCUAGGAGUAAGAAUGAGAGGGGGGCCUGAACCAAGCACAGUGAUGAAUUCACAUCUGGGCUUCUGAGAUGGGCCUCCACCUACCCAACCAGGAGGCAGUUCAAAGCUGAAAUGCAUAAGGGAGGACGUCAGUGAGGCCAGGGAGGGGAAGGCCCACUGCUUGUAGAUUAUCAUGUAUCCAAUUAGGUGCCCCUGCCAGCCAGAAGUGUAAAAACAAUCACCAAAAAGAAAGAAAACCUGAAUGGAUGCAUGAAUGCAUGAAUGCAAGAGUGAAUGAGAAAAAAGAUUUGCAGUGACCAAGGAGGCCGGUCUUGCAGGGGUGUUAGGAUUCAUCCAGUCCCUGGUGCCUGAUCUCCAAGAGAAGGAAAGGUGGUUAAAAAAAAAAAGGCUGAGAGACUGGUAGAAAAAAACAAUUGAGAUUGGAGAAAAAAAUAAAACAAUUUAAAAAAGGAGUAAAGAAGGUAAUAAAUUAGUAAGCCAUACAGUGAAGUCUGUGAGAAGGGACUGGUUUAGCACAGACCAUCCACAUUAAUUCAAAUCUCCGGCCCCGAAGUUGAUAAAUAAUAAAAACAAUCACAUAAAUAAAUGCCUGAAGGAAUAAAUUCACACAUUCCAUGAGAAUGUGAGAAAAAGUUUGAAAAAUUAUAGGAGGGCCUGGGAGAAAGAAAGAUGAAAGAAAAGAAAAGAAAAUAGACCUAUGGAAGAAGAGGCACUUCCUGGAUAAGUACUUACAUAUAAUAAACAAAUAUUAUUCAUUAAAUACAAUAAUUAGUAAGAGCUGAGGUUCAUCAUAAAGAAAGAAUAAGUAGAGGGAUGGCUGUGUGAACAAAUGAAUGAGAAGGAUGAUUUUGAUUAAUUCACGUCUGCACCCGAGGCUCACGGGAAUAAAAGAAUGCAAAAAAGAGAGCGGUGAAGGAGGGGCGUAGACAAUUAUGACAGGAUGGAUAUUAGCAAUAAAAACAUAUUGAAGGAAUAAAUCAAUACGUACAUAAUUCUACGAGAGAGAGGGCCAUGUUAGAACAAAAAAACGA